UUUUUUGGAAUAAAAAUUUAAAAUUUAAUCUGCUCACUGAAUUUUAAAGAGCCGCAGUAUUUUGACUGUGCAAAGGUAGCAUAAUAAAUAGUUUUUUAAUUGAAAACUGGAAUGAAUGAUUGGAUGAAAAAUUGACUGUCUUCAAUUUUAUAUUUAGAAUUUAAUUUUUUAGUCAAAAAGCUAAAAUUUUUUUAUUAGACGAGAAGACCCUAUAGAUUUUUAUUUUUUUCUUUUUAAAUUUUGUUUAAUAUUAAUUAAUUAAUUAUAAAAAAAUUUUAUUGGGGUGAUAUUAAAAUAUAUAUAACUUUUAAAUUUAUUAAUUAUUUAUAAAUAAAUUUUUGAUCCUUUUUAUUGAUUAUUAGAUUAAAUUACCUUAGGGAUAACAGCGUAAUUUUAUUGGAAAGUUCAUAUUGAAAGUAAAGUUUGCGACCUCGAUGUUGAAUUAAAAAAAUGAAUGGGAGUAGAAGAUCAUUAAAUUAGUCUDUUCGACUAUUAAAUUUU
rnacentral:rRNA from 1 species